AGCAGGUGAGGAGGCUGGGGCCAGAUGACUGCUAGUGAGGGAGCAGAGACAAGACAGGCGAGCCUGUGACAGAGCGAGACCCUGUCUCAAAAAACAAAAACAAGACAUGUGAGCUUGGACUCCAGUGUGGAAUCCCAUGUCCGCUCAGUGCACCUUUCUCCCGCUGAAAGUACAAGAGGAGAGGGGAAACCCACAGGUGGAGCUGACCAUGAGGACUGUCACAGGGAACUCUUUGAAUAAGAGGACACCAGAUCAUGCCUGCAGUUCCAGACCAGGAGCAACUAGCACCAGCCUCAGCAUGGAGCAGGACUUCAGUUCCAGCAGCGAGGACUGAGAUCAGACACAAGAGAAAGCUCCCUGAUGAGGUGGGGUGAUUCUAAAACGAAGGGCGGAAAUUAUCUGGGGAAUUUCCUUCCCGUGAAGCCUCAGGAACAUGCCAGUCCCCCACUUCGGUCUGUCCUGGGGGGUCUCACGCCCCUGUCCUCCUAGGGAAAUCUAGAUCCUCCAAACUCUGCCUGGGUUCUUCCUGGGGAGUCUUGACCCCUGCCUUGUGGUUAAUGUGGGAUAGGGGACCCGGGAACAGGGCUGCCUUCCUCUGGCCAAAGCCUGGCAAGCAAGUGUGGGAUGGGUGCUGUCUUCCUGAGAGGGACAAUAGAAGUGACAGAGCCCCCUAAUUCAAGACCCUGCAGAGUUGGUGUGAGAUCUUAUAAUAUCAGUCUCUAAGCCAGUGCCUCUCAAGCUCUCUGUGGUGAAGAAUCAAUUUUUAAAAUAUAUAAUCAGUCACAGAUCAAUGCUUUUGUAAAAUGCAAUAAAAGUUAAUUUCCAAAAAAAUGAUC
rnacentral:lncRNA from 1 species